GACGGAGGAUGCAAGCGUUAUCCGGAAUGAUUGGGCGUAAAGCGUCCGCAGGUGGCAGUUCAAGUCUGCUGUCAAAGACCGGGGCUUAACUUCGGAAAGGCAGUGGAAACUGAACAGCUAGAGUAUGGUAGGGGCAGAGGGAAUUCCUGGUGUAGCGGUGAAAUGCGUAGAUAUCUGGAGGAACACCGGUGGCGAAGGCGGCAUCCUGGACCGAUACUGACGCUGAGGAGCGAAAGCCAGGGGAGCAAACGGG
rnacentral:rRNA from 1 species